AGGAUGAACGCUGGCGGCGUGCCUAAUACAUGCAAGUCGAGCGAACUGAUUAGAAGCUUGCUUCUAUGACGUUAGCGGCGGACGGGUGAGUAACACGUGGGCAACCUGCCUGUAAGACUGGGAUAACUUCGGGAAACCGAAGCUAAUACCGGAUAGGAUCUUCUCCUUCAUGGGAGAUGAUUGAAAGAUGGUUUCGGCUAUCACUUACAGAUGGGCCCGCGGUGCAUUAGCUAGUUGGUGAGGUAACGGCUCACCAAGGCAACGAUGCAUAGCCGACCUGAGAGGGUGAUCGGCCACACUGGGACUGAGACACGGCCCAGACUCCUACGGGAGGCAGCAGUAGGGAAUCUUCCGCAAUGGACGAAAGUCUGACGGAGCAACGCCGCGUGAGUGAUGAAGGCUUUCGGGUCGUAAAACUCUGUUGUUAGGGAAGAACAAGUACGAGAGUAACUGCUUGUACCUUGACGGUACCUAACCAGAAAGCC
rnacentral:rRNA from 1 species